GCAGCUCAGUGGCAGAGCAUCUUCCUUGCAUGCAGAAGGUCCCAGGUUCGAGUCCUGACCGCAUCUCCA